AACGAACGCUGGCGGCAUGCCUAACACAUGCAAGUCGAGCGAACAGAUGAAGUGCUUGCACUUCUGACGUUAGCGGCGAACGGGUGAGUAACACGUAAGGAAUCUACCUAUAAGCGGGGGAUAACAUUCGGAAACGGGUGCUAAUACCGCAUAAUAUCUUCUUCCGCAUGGAAGAAGAUUGAAAGACGGCUCUGCUGUCACUUAUAGAUGACCUUGCGGUGCAUUAGUUAGUUGGUGGGGUAAUGGCCUACCAAGACGAUGAUUCAUAGCCGACCUGAGAGGGUGAGCGGCCACAUGGGGACUGAGACACGGCCCAAACUCCUACGGGAGGCAGCAGUAGGGAAUCUUCCGCAAUGGGCGAAAGCCUGACGGAGCAAUGCCGCGUGAGUGAAGAAGGCCUUCGGGUCGUAAAACUCUGUUAUAAGAGAAGAACAAAUUGUAGAGUAACUGCUACAGUCUUGACGGUAUCUUAUCAGAAAGCCACGGCUAACUACGUGCCAGCAGCCGCAGUAA
rnacentral:rRNA from 1 species